CCAAACUUGGUCAUUUAGAGGAAGUAAAAGUCGUAACAAGGUUUCCGUAGGUGAACCUGCGGAAGGAUCAUUAAAAAAAAUAGCUUUUUUUUGCUAUAAUUUUAUAUCUACCUUGUGUGCAAACAAUGGAAAGAGAAAAUGGAAUUUAACAACACUUUUUUCUUCUGGGAAGAAAAAGUGUUACCAAAUUCUCUAUAUAUUUUUAUAUAUAAACACCAUCAAAAUUUGAAUGAAAAAAAAAUUUUUUUUAAAUAAAAAUACUUAUACAACUUUCAACAACGGAUCUCUUGGCUCUCGCAUCGAUGAAGAACGCAGC
rnacentral:misc_RNA from 1 species